rnacentral:tRNA from 1 species
CGGGAUAGCUCAGUUGGGGAGCAAGA